UGUUGUACUGUCGUAGAGGGGAACAGGAAGUUCCGGGUGGCAAACGACAGAACUGUGUUGUUAUGUCGAUAUUGGUUGUGUCCGUUUCAACUGUAUUAUUGUAGGCCGACUCAGAUUAAGUCUGAGGCCGGUAACAUCAACAGUGAGGACAAACCCAGCCUGCCACUCUCCUUCCACACUGAGUAGAAACCUACAGUCACUGGGUCCUGAUUGUGACAGUGGAGCCCAGUUUGCACCGCAGGAUCCAGAGAUGGCAUCAGUGAAGCUGGAGGACUGCAGUCAAACACUGGAGCGGAAUGUCAACAUUAAAGAUGAAGAAGAAGAGGAGGAGAAGAUUAGGACAACUGUUAGUCAUUGAGACCAUGUUGAGACAUUCUCUACAUCCAGAGAGCAACAGCAGGAAGAUCAGAGAGCUAAGAGGUCUCAUCACUGCCCACAUUGUGAGGAGAUUUUCCCAUUUCUAUCAGGACUAAAAAUACACCUACAAAUACACACAGGAGAUAAUCCGUAUUCCCCCACUGACUGUGGGAAGAGAUUCACAACAUCACAUUCUCUGACAGUUCACCAGAGUGUGCACUCUGGAGAGAAGCCUUACUCCUGCUCUGACUGUGGGAAGAGUUUCUCUCGACUGAGCCAUUUAAAAAGACACCAAAGUAUACAUAAAGGAGAGAAGCCUUACUCCUGCUCUGACUGUGGGGAGAGUUUCGCUCAACUGGGGACUUUAAAAAAACACCAACGUAUACACACAGGAGAGAAGCCUUACUUCUGUUCUGACUGUGGGAAGAAUUUCUCCCGAUUGGAUACCUUAAAAACACAUGAACGUAUACAUACAGGAGAGAAGCUUUACUCCUGCUCUCAUUGUGGAAAAUGCUUCACAACAUCAACUGAGCUAAAAGUUCAUCAGAGAACACACACAGGAGAGAAGCCUUACUCCUGCUCUGACUGUGGGGUGAGUUUCUCUCGACUGGGCCACUUAAAAACUCAUGAAAGUAUACAUACAGGAGAGAAGCCUUACUACUGCUCUGACUGUGUGAAAUUCUUCACAACAUCAACUGAGCUAAAAGUUCAUCAGAGAACACACACAGGAGAGAAGCCUUACUCCUGCUCUGACUGCGGGGCGAGUUUCUCGCAACUGGGCAACUUAAAAACACAUGAACGUAUACACACAGGAGAGAAGCCUUAUUACUGCUCUGACUGUGGAAAAUGUUUUAAAACAUCAACUGGGCUAAAAGUUCAUCAGAGAACACACACAGGAGAGAAGCCUUACACCUGCUCUCACUGUGGUGUGAGUUUCUCUCGAUUGGGACACUUAAAAACACAUGAACGUAUACAUACAAGAGAGAAGCCUUAAACAUGCUCUUGACUGUGGGGCAAGUUUCUCUCGACUGGGCAACUUAAAAACACAUGAACGUAUACACAGGAGAGAAGCUUUAUUACUAGGGCUGUGGCGGCCAUGACGUUGUGUCAGCCGGUGAUUGUCAUAUAAAUAAUUACCGGUCUCAUGGUAAUUGACCGGUAAUUAACCUAAACAUGUUUAGCAUGUCUUGGCUUCCACGCAUAGCCUACAAGCAACUGAUGUGGACCUUUUGAAACAUCUACAUUUAAAAAAGUAUAAUAAAUCAAUGUAAUAUAGCCUACACCUUCACAAUAAAUCCAUCAUUUAUUUUAUACAGGUCUAAAGAAACAUGAUAUAAAGAAAAUGUAGCCUAUUUCAGAAGAACAGAAUAGCAUAUUCUGAGUUGUCCUUACAGUUUGUCAGUCCCUGAUCUGGUUUGGCCAUAUGGCUUUAGGCAACACUAAUUCAUUUAGCAGACAGUCCUUACAGUAUGUUAGGUCCUGAUCUGGCUUGGCCAUAUGGCUGUGGGCAACACAAGUUCAUUUAGCACACAAUUGAGCAUAGCUGAAAUAAAAAAAAAUAUUCCCCAAAGAAUUUCAGAGGAAGUGUGCACUAUUCUGUGUUCUGUGUUAACAGGUCCUCCUAUAUGCUUACUUUAGAUGUAUUUGUGCAACUUUAGUUGGGAUUUAAACGUAUGUUUAGAUGUUUAAUACAUUCUAAGGCUGCAUGAUGCGACUCUAAUGAUGAUUUGAAAAAAAGUUGGAUGAAAGGCCUGAGUUCUGCUCUGUUUCUUACGCAGGCUGCACACACUUCAUCAGUCUCUCAUUCACUAUUUGACAAGCACUUGAUCAUAUUCUCAACCAUCAAGACUGUUCAUAAUUUAAUCUCGUCUUUACAUACCGCCUACUAAUAUACGUGUAGACAUUUUUUCUUUAAAAAAACAACCAUGUCAUCCGUAGCAUGCACUCUAAUAGCGAACGGAGGUUCCGACGCGUCCAUAAGGCUAGAGGAAGCUAAAGUUAAUUGAAUUAAAUUGCCGAAAUUGUAUAGCCUAAUUAGCCUACUCCUGUCUAUACAGAAAUAAAUAAAAUCCUUCCAAAUAGGCUACUAAAGUACGAUUUGGCCUCAAAGAAGAUCAUUACCUUCUUUAAAAAAUAAAUCAGUUGUGGAUUGUUUUAAAUUGCAUUGUCUACAGUCGGAAGGAAAUGCAGCGUGCUCAAUUUGGGCAGAUUAUUGUUGAGUUGAGACUGUCUGACAAGUAGAGAGGCCAAGACAGAAAUAUCACAAUAUUUUCAAAAUACAAUUGAUGGGGAAACAUACUUUUGACCAUGUAGUGUAUGUGGACACCAGCUUGUUGAGAAUCUCAUUCCAAAAUCAUGGGCAUUAAUAUGGAGUUGGUUCCCCCUUUGCUGCUAUAACAGCCUCUACUCUUCUGGGAAGGCUUUUCACUAGAUGUUGGAACAUUGUUGUGGGGACUUACUUCCAUUCAGCCAAGAGAGCAUUAGUGAGGUCGGGCACUGAUGUUAGGUGAUUAGGCCUGGCACGCAGUUGGCGUUCCAAUUCAUCCCAAAGGUGUUCGAUGGGGUUGAGGUCAGGGCUCUGUGUAGGUCAGUCAAGUUCUUCCACACCGAUCUCGACAAACCAUUUCAGUAUGGACCUCGCUUUGUGCAUGGGGGCAUUGUCAUGCUGAAACAGGAAAGGGCCUCCCCAAACUGUUGCCCCAAAGUUGGAAGCACAGAAUUGUCUAGAAGGUCAUUGUAUGCUGUAGCAUUAAGAUUUCCCUUCACUGGAACUAAGGGGCCCAAACCAUGAAAAACAGCCCCAGACCAUUAUUCCUCCUCCACCAAACUUUACAGUUGGCCCUAUGCAUUGGGGCAGGUAGCGUUCUCCUGGCAUCCACCAAACCCUGAUUUGUCCGUCGGACUGCCAGAUAGUGAAGUGGGAUUCAUCACUCCAGAGAACACAUUUCCACUGCUCCGGUGUCCAAUGGUGGCAAGCUUUAUACCACACCAGCUGACGCUUAUUAUUGCGCAUGGUGAUCUUUGGCUUGUGUGCAGCUACUCGGCCACGGAAACCCAUUUCAUGAAGCUCCCGACGAACAGUUCUUGUGUUGAAGUUGCUUCCAGCGACAGUUUGGAACUCUGCGGUGAGUGUUGCACGCUUCAGCACUCGGUGGUCCUGUUCACUUCGCUUCUGACCCGUUGUUGCUCCUAGACGUUUGCACUUCACAAUAACAGCACUUAGUUGGCCGGGGCAGCUCUCGUAUCUGUUAUAACCCAGGCCGUAUCUGUUAUAGCCCGGGCCGUAUCUGUUAUAACCCAGGCCGUAUCUAUUAUAACCCAGGCCGUAUCUGUUAUAACCCAGGCCGUAUCUGUUAUAACCCAGGCCGUAUCUGUAUAGCCCGGGCUGUAUCUGUUAUAACACAGGCCGUAUCUGUAUAGCCCGGGCCGUAUCUGUUAUAACACAGGCCGUACCUGUAUAGCCCGGGCCUAUUCUACGCUAUACGCGCUCAGCGUAUAUUGAAUGGUCUUUUUUGCCAGCAGUGAUUUGAGUGAUAUUAUUAGUCAGAAUUAUGACUAUCCAAUCUACUCAUAGCAUUAUGAAUAAUAAGCUAUUUUACAUAAGUCUACAAAUGUGAUAAUGCAUCGAAUGCUUUAAUACGAAGGUGCAUUUUUAAUGGUGAAAAUCAGCUUCCCCAAAGUUGGAAGUCACCUAUGUAUGUCUGGUAGUCUACACCGGUUAGGAAAUAGGAUUCAUGUGCUAGAGACAGCUGGGAUCCUCUUUACAUAGUGGCCAGGCAACUCAAUGACUUGGCUUUAUAAGAACACGUUUUCACUAGGCUCUGUGGGCUCAAUGACUUGGCUUUAAAGAACACAUUUUCACUAGGCUCUGUGGGCUCAAUGACUUGGCUUUAAAGAACACAUUUUCACUAGGCUCUGUGAUCUCUAACCGUGUUCCAGGGGUCCUAGUCUAUAGGCUACGUUUGGUGUUAUUUGGACAUUUUUAGAUGUGAUAUCAACCUUAUUAAAACAUAUAGAGCUAUGGGCUAUGCUUCGUGAUGCGUGCGACCUUUGACCUGAUAAAAGGCAUGCGCUGUUUCUUGCUUUAGACUGCAUACGCUGGACAACAUUCACGUGACAAUAUUGUCAACCAAUAGAAAUGUUAUGAAGUUAAUCUUGUCUUUUACAUAUACUAAAUAAUAUGUGUGAAUUAUAUGUCAUGUUUUUUCCCACGGUUCAUUUUCACGCGAGCCGUGUAUGCUACUCCUGUUGUAAAGCGAAGGCAUGUACUUAAUAUUAGGAACGUUGAUAAAUAAACAAACUGCAUUGGGAAAUAUUCAGACCCCUUCCUUUCUCCACAUCCUGUUAAAUUCCAGCCUUAUUCUAAAAUGUAUUUAAGUUGCUUUUUUUACUCAUCUGUCUACACACAAUACCCCAUAAUGACAAAGCAAAAACAGGUUUUACAACAUUUUUUCAAUUUAUAUAUAAAAAAAUACCUUAUUUACAGAACUCCACCUAUCAGGCCUUUAUGGUAGAGUGGCCAGACGGAAGCCACUUCUCAGUAAAAGGCACAUGACAGCCCGCUUGGAGUUUGCCAAAAGGCACCUAAAGGAUUCUCAGACCAUAUAGAAACACGAUUCUCUGGUCUGAUGAAACCAAGAUUGAACUCUUUGGCCUGAAUGCCAAGUGUCACGUCUGGAACAAAGCUGGCAUCAUCCCUACGGUGAAGCAUGGUGGUGGCAGCAUCAUGCUAUGGGUAUGUUUUUCAGUGGCAGGGACUAGGAAAUUAGUCUGGAUCUAGGGAAAGAUGAAUGGAGCAAAGUACAGAGAGAUCCUGAUCCAGAGCACUCAGGACCUCAGACUGUGGCGAAGGUUCACUUUCCAACAGUACAACGACCCUAAACACACAGCCAAGACAAUGCAGUAGUGGCUUCGGGACAAGUCUCUGAAUGUCCUUGAGUGGCCCAGCCAGAGACCGGACAGGAACCCGAUCGAACAUCUCUGGAGCGACGCUCCCCAUCCAACCUGACAACUUGAACACAUCUGCAGAGAAGAAUGGGAGAAACUCCCCAAAUACAGGUGUGCCAAGCUUGUAGCGUCAUACCCAAGAAUACGCAAGGCUGUAAUCGCUGCCAAAGGGGCUUCAACAAAGUAUGGAUUAAAGGGUCUGAAUACUUAUGUAAAUGUGAUGUUUUUGUCUUGUCAUUAUGGGGUAUUGUGUGUAGAUUGGUGAGGGGGGGGAAAUGAUUUAUUCCGUUUUAGAAUAAGGCUGUAACGUAACAAAAUUUGGAAAAAGUCAAGGAGUCUGAAUACUUUACGAAUGCAUUGUAUAUGGUCUUUUGUAUUGUAUUGUGAUACAUGGUUGGGAUACAACUGAUGUGUGGUUGUCUUGCCCGGCUAUCUUAAGAUGAAUCUACAAGCUGUGGGUAGCUCUUGAUGGGAGUUUCUGCUAAAUCAGGGUUUUCUAAACUUGGUCCUGGGUGGCAAAUCUUUUUACUACUAAAUUACUUUUUUUAAUGAUACACAGGCUAUGAAAUGACUGCAUGUGUUUUAAAACUAGAUGUAUUAUGUUAGCCAUUGAUGAUUCAUGUAUUUGGAUAACUUCAAUGAACAUAAUUGCUCUGCUAGGGGGGGGGUUUAUCUCUACAGAAAAUACAAUGUCUUUCUUUAAUUCAUGUCAUUCAAAAUAAUAUGUUUCUAUCAGAACAUGUCACUACAUCUCUACACAUCACCAUAGGAACAAGCCCAUUAUCUAGGCACCAGUAUUUUCUACAAUGCAUACAAAUAUAUGUUUAUCAGUAUAAAGGAUUUACAUAGGUUUCUUAUUAAAUAACAGGUAAAUAAA